rnacentral:rRNA from 1 species
AGAGUUUGAUCCUGGCUCAGGACGAACGUUGGCGGUGCGCUUAAUGCAUGCAAGUCGAGGGAGAACCUUUCGAUCCGUAAGGACCGGAUGGGGAAACCGGCGAACGGGUGCGUAACACGUGAGGAACCUGCCCCGAAGACCGGGAUAGCCCGAGGAAACUCGGAUUAAUACCGGAUACCCUCCUCGGACCACAUGGUCUGUUGAGGAAAUGGUCCGCCGCUUCGGGAUGGCCUCGCGGCCUAUCAGCUUGUUGGUGAGGUAAUGGCUCACCAAGGCAAAGACGGGUAGCUGGUCUGAGAGGACGAUCAGCCACACUGGGACUGAGACACGGCCCAGACUCCUACGGGAGGCAGCAGCAGGGAAUAUUGCACAAUGGGCGAAAGCCUGAUGCAGCGACACCGCGUGCGGGAUGAAGGCCCUCGGGUUGUAAACCGCUUUCAGGAGGGACGAAAAUGACGGUACCUCCAGAAGAAGGCCCGGCCAACUACGUGCCAGCAGCCGCGGUAAUACGUAGGGGCCAAACGUUGUCCGGAUUUAUUGGGCGUAAAGGGCUCGUAGGCGGUUCAACAAGUCGAUCGUGAAAGCCCGGGGCUCAACCCCGGGACGCCGGUCGAAACUGUUGUGACUAGGGUCCGGUAGAGGUGAGUGGAAUUCUCGGUGUAGCGGUGGAAUGCGCAGAUAUCGAGAGGAACACCAGUU